UGAUUGCUUUGCUUCUAGAUCAGCACCCUCUCCCCCCUCCUCCUCGCACGCCUUCUGCUUGCGUAAAUGUCUCAGUGCCAAAUUCUGUUUUGUCGAUCAUUUCUCCGACCGUAUGUUCUUCUUCGGCACUUCGUCUUCAGAUAGCGCCCGUGGUUCCGCAGUUUAUGUAUACAUCGUAGCAGUGACAGCGACUCAACGGAGUUGGGGGCUAGCCAUCAAUCCCAUCUAGGGUCCUUAGGCGCCGCCAUCAUCGGAUCUUCUAGGCCACGGCAAGGCAUCAGAUCUUUUAGUUAAUUGUUGAAGGAUACUGCAGGUUGUUUUGCAAGGAAAAUGUAUAAGAUCAGAAGAGAAACAGCGGCUGCCAUAAUUCUUCAGAAGUAUGCAAGAAGGUUACUGUUACAACGGAAUUACCAUGAAACAUGUUCAGCAGCUCUGCUUAUCCAGUCUUGUAUUCGAGGGUUUAUUGCUCGCCGCUAUUUCUCAGCCAUCAGGGAGCAGAAGGCUGCG